UACGGUAGGGUGCGAGCGUUGUCCGGAAUUAUUGGGCGUAAAGAGCUUGUAGGUGGCUCGUCGCGUCGGGAGUGAAAACCCGCGGCUUAACCGCGGGCCUGCUUUCGAUACGGGCGGGCUAGAGUUCGGCAGGGGAGACUGGAAUUCCUGGUGUAGCGGUGGAAUGCGCAGAUAUCAGGAGGAACACCGGUGGCGAAGGCGGGUCUCUGGGCCGAUACUGACACUGAGAAGCGAAAGCGUGGGGAGCGAACAGG
rnacentral:rRNA from 1 species